rnacentral:rRNA from 1 species
GUACGGCAGAGGGGGAUGGAAUUCCGCGUGUAGCAGUGAAAUGCGUAAAUAUGCGGAGGAACACCGAUGGCGAAGGCAAUCCCCUGGGCCUGUACUGACGCUCAUGCACGAAAGCGUGGGGAGCAAACAGGAUUAAAUACCCUGGUAGUCCACGCCCUAAACGAUGUCAACUGGUUGUUGGGUCUUCACUGACUCAGUAACGAAGCUAACGCGUGAAGUUGACCGCCUGGGGAGUACGGCCGC